rnacentral:lncRNA from 1 species
AAAAGAAAAGGGGAAGCGAGAGAAAAGAAAAGGGGGCCAGACCUAGCCCGCGCCCCCGCAACGCCCGUCGCCGCCUCCUCUCCUGCCGCCGCCGCCGCCUCCUCUCCUGCCGCCGCCGCCGCCUCCUCUCCUGCCGCCGCCGCCGCCGCCUCCUCUUCGUCGGUGCUAUCGAAGCCUGGGCUACGUGAGCGCGCGAGCCGCUGGUGAUGCUCGAGGCGUGACCGUUGGGCCGGGGACAGGUGCGCGCGCUCGCCGCGACGGGAACGAGAGUUGUCCCCACUCCUUCUGUUCCCCAUCGCCGGCCUCCUCUCAGCCUUGGCCUCGUUGCUCACGGGAGAGAGAGAGAGAGAGAGAGAGAGGAGGAGAAGGAGGCGGCGGCGGCCGCGGCGGCCAGAAGGAAUGAGGGGGUCGGGGCGUUGGUUCUCCCCGACACCAUCUGGCCUUCUCCCCGUCUCAGUCGUGUGGUCUCGACGACGCCGCCCUCACGCUCCUUCUCCUCCGCGUCGACAGGACUCUCUCUAGCCUCUCGCUCCACCUCCUCGCACACUCCUGCAG